AUGUGUUGCCAACUAGAAAAGGAGCUGAAACCUUCUUGGCUGCUGAAUUAUUUAUCUGUUGUCCUGAAUUCUUUCUCAACAUUCUCAGGAUAUUUGCCAAGGGUAGAGCAGGUGCCCAGUAUUUUUCUGAAUGUUGUUUGCAGGAUCCGUAUGGUGCCAAUAGAUAUUCUUAUUCCGAGCCAAUCGGUUAAUCCUAUUACCUCUCUCAUGGUUGUCCACUGUUGUGACCUGAUUCCCGUGGAGGAGCACUUCAAUUAUGUGCAAAAUACCGAGUUGCAGUUUUGCUACCCACCCUGUACUUUUGGGCAACCUAUCCUAUUUGUGUCAAUGCACUGGAACAAUUCAUGUCGGAAGGGAUUCAAAAGAAGUGGUCAUACUGCAAUCAGCUUACACAUUGGCAAUGCAUGGCGACGGUGUUCCAAUCUCCUUGAAAAUUGCAUAAGGAUCCUCCGAGGUCAAUUAUGGUGCUUGUGGUCUGUGAGACAGUGCAAUGAAGAUUGUUGUUUCACUAAGCAGCCAUUACAUGAAAGUAAACAGGCUUUCGACACUAUGUGCAUGUUCUAUUAG
rnacentral:rRNA from 1 species